rnacentral:tRNA from 1 species
GGGGUUGUAGCUCAGUGGUAGACCACUUGCCUAGCACAUAUGAGGCACUGGGUUCGAUCGCCAGCACCACA